CAAUACCAAUUUAUUUUCAUCAGCUAUGUUUACUCAGCACAAUGAUGGAAGCUUCCUGCUACUUGACUAUUUGAGGCAUCAUCAUUUUACACCUAGCUCUGCUGUAUCAUAAAACAAUGUCAACUGAUCACUUUUAUAUUUUUAGCAGAUGCCUUCCUACCUAAGUGACUUUCACUAAAGUGUACAACUCACAUUAUAGGCAGUUCAGGACAAGCAAGAAUACACAAUGCUUUCUAACCCAUAUGCCUCAAACGUCAAGAUGAAGCACAACUACUGUAUAAAUACGAUAACAAUGAUUUAACAGUGUAAUCUUACCUUCCCUGAAUCUCAGACAAGGAUGCUACCACUGCACUGCCAAUGCUCUCUGCCACUCAUUUUCUGCUAAUAUAAUUUUAUAGGCUUUUAAUGUCGUUGAGACUUAUUGUAAGCUACAUGAAUGGGAAAAAGGGGGGAUAGCGCUAUAAUGAAACGACAAGCAAAAAUUGUAUCUGUCCAGUGGCGGCUGGUCAAUAGGGGUUAUCAAGAGAAGUUAAUUAUAUAUUGCAAAAUAAUUAUGAAAUAAAAUGUAGUCGUACUAUGCGCCUGGUAGUCAUGUGUUAGCAUUUAUUUCAAAAAAAUUAUUUGGUUCAUUUCUGUGUGAAUACAUAGGCAAUAAUUCCAGUGUGCAGGGCGCCGGCCAAAUGAGUGUGUAUGUAGGUCCUUAAACUUUUGGCAAGCAGGUCACCUGAGGCUGCUCUCUAAUUGGUUGCUUCAGAUUUUCCCAUGGGAUGCAGCUCUCUGCGCCCCUUGAGAUUGCUGGAUUGUUAGUUGAGAUUGCUGGAUUGUUAGUUGAGAUUGUUGGAUUGUUAGUUGAGAUCAUUAACACCAGUUGAACUGCCAAGUUUCAGGUUGGCGUAGCAUUUAUUCCAAAUGAAAAUAUUCAGUUUUAUCUUUACAAAAAAAAAAAAAAAACUUUCACAAGGUGUUUACCUGAAGAAAAAAAAAAAAAGGUAUAAAAGAAGCUUGGACCAGAUCGGCCCGAUUUACAAAUUCAGCAGUCGUCAAGUAGUCGAGGACGAGCUUAUACCCGCGCUUUCUCCAGCUUGUGUUAUAGAACGAGCUAUUGGCCUGUAUGUUGUCUGUUGUGAGGGAACACAUAAUCAAAGAAGCACAGAGCAGCAAUUUUCUCUCAAUCCAGGUAGAUGAGACGAUGGAUGUUGCCACACAGUGCCAACUUGUGCUGCGCUACAUUGAUGCCAAAAACAAUGUGCAGGAAAGGUUUUUGAGUUUAUCCCUCUGCAGUCAACUACAGCUGAUUCCAUUGCUACAGCACUAAAAGAGCGUCUUACUGCCAUCCUUCCUGAGGAUCAGAAGAGUAAGCUCAUCUGCCAGGCAUAUGAUGGAGCCAGCGUGAUGAGGGGUGCCACUGCAGGUGUUCAGAGGAAGAUAAAAGACGUGUUCCCAAAUGUCCACUUCAUCCACUGCUAUGCACAUCAGCUCAAUCUGAUAAUGCAACAGGCCACUUCUCACAUAGCCAAAGUGAGAAUUUUUUUUUUCUGACCUUGGUGGAUUUGCCAGCUUUUUGUCCAGAUCACCCAAGCACACAUGUUCUUGAUAAAGUAGUGGCCCAUAGACUACCAGCAUCCAGCAACGUCAGAUGGAACUUUCACAGCCAUGCCAUCAAUACCGUGUUUGAGCACAGAGAGGAGAGAUCUGCUGUUUGAAAGCAUACCAGACUCGGGUAACUUUGACCCCAUUACUGUCAGAGAGGCAGGAGCCUUCGCCAUUCUGCUGGAGGAUCAGGAUUUUAAGUUCUUUCUGAAACUUUUCCACCACAUCAUGCCGCAUGUGGACCUCCUCUAUGCCAAACUCCAGAAGAAGGACACAGAUUUGGUCCAUAUCAAGGGGAGCAUCCAGCAGUUCCAGCAGUAUAUACAAAAGAUCAGAAAUUCUCUCCAUGGUUAGUCCAGAGGCCCAUGAAAGGAUUGCAGCAGAGAAUAUAGUCUCAUCUAUAGCAAGGAAGAGUUCAGAGCCUGCUGUGGUGCUGUGGACCUACUCCAGCUGUUUAUGGAGAACAAUCUUGAAGAAGUCUUUUCAGAGACUGUCACUCCUAAAGAUUCUCAUCACCACACCCAUGACCACAGUGGAAGCUGAGAGGUAUUUCUCAACCUUGAAAAGAAUUUAGAUUUUUCUGAGAAACAACAUGGCCCAGGAGAGGCUGAAUGCAUUGACCAUGCUGUCAGUGGAAAAGAGACUGGUGACUAAGAUGACUGACUUUAACCAGAAAGUCAUUGAAAUAUUUGUAGGCCAGAAGGAAAGGAGGACAAAAUGUAUGUUCAAGUAGUGCUACUGGCCAGUGUUUAGGCAACAUUACAGUGUGUUUUGUUUUUUGGUUUGUAUUGUUUGUUAUAACAGGCCAUUAAAAUGUCUUAGUUUUUGGAAAAAUUACGUUUUUGGCAUUAAAAUAUCUUAAAUUUGAUGCACUGCCCUGGCAUUAAGUGUUUUCCUUUGAGUUUUCAAAAUAUACGUUCCAACUGAUAAUUUGAUUGAUUUACAUUUAAUUCAGUUCUUUAAAUGUAAUUAUUUUCUAAGGUUUCAUAUAUUGUUGGUGCUUUUAAAUGGGUUAAAUAUUGCUUUGAGUGGGUUUGGUGGUAUUCUAAAGAAUUUUCCAUUUUUUUGUUUUUUAAUGAAUUUUCAGUUUGCUUGCACACCAGCUGGCACUGUAUCUGUCAUCUAUUAAAUAAUGUAAUCUAAUACAUACUAAACAGUUGAUGCUCAUGCUUUCAUUCUUUAUUUGUGCACAAAAUACUGGAAAUAUGCCAGUACAUGUGUUUACGUGUUAACUUGUGAUUUAAGAAUGUCUACAUUCACAGAAUGAACUUAAGAUUCUGCAGUAAACAAUGGUUUGAUGGGGAAAAAAAAAACAGAUGUUCAAAUGUUUCUACAUAAUUAUUACACAUUUGGCAUCUGUUUGAAUUAACAACAUUAAAUCUUACUGUCAAAAUUUUGUUUGCUGGAUAUAUAUCAUUUUAAGAUGUAUCUCUUUGCAUUAGGGGGCGAUAGGAAACGAAAGAUAUUUACUCCUAGUUUCACAUGCUGAUUUUUUUAUUGUAGUGCUGAAGAAUGUAUGCUCCCAUUUUAAGUCCUAGAAAACAUUCUUGUACAAGACAUUUUCUUAAAACAUUGUUAGUGCAUUUUUUAUCUAUACAAUUUAAUUUAACUAUCAUGGGGUCGUGUAUUUUGGGAAUUGCCAUUGUAUAUUUUAAAUGUUCUUGUAUCAACCCAAUCAUUGGUAAUGGAAUACUUUUAGUAUGGAAAAUGUACCAAGAUUUGUGGAGCAACAUUGUCUCCAAGUGGCCACUGAUUGUAAUUGCAGUAUGUCAACAUGCAUAUUGCUCCACCCUACGGCAAGUAAGAUGUCGAUUGUCUCAAACUGCUUAAUGUCUCGCUUUCUUAACGCAGGAUUGAGAACAACAUGGCGUAUGGAACAAGACUGGCAUAAAAAUUACUCCACUAAUAAAAAAACAAAUAACAUGGUAUUACUCUUACCAUGUUUUUCGACCAUGGUAAUACCAUAGUAUUCUUUGAGGUUCAUUGGAGUACCAUGUAAAUACCAUGGUAUACAAAUAUGGUGUAUGAAUAUGAUGAUCAA